GUUAGCGCAAAAUCGCUAACCGAGCGUGGAAACUCGAAUAAUAAACAUACGGCGAACAGUAGCACGCCAUUUAACCGUGCUUUUUUU
rnacentral:sRNA from 1 species